CUAAGAGAGAAGGCUGAAGGUCUUUUUGAUGCCUUUUCCAUGUCAACCUCUCUGAUGCAACUUUGCUAUCUGAGGAAGCAGUGAAGUCAUUAAAGGCUUUAUCCAGUGACCUGGAUAUGCAGCCAGUUCAAGACGCAUCGCUUUCCUCUCCUGUCUGCUGACUGGAUCCCUGGAGAGGGACAAAGUAACUGUUCAAUCCCAGAUUAUGACUGAUGAAGCAAAGAAGGUAACAAGCCUGGAACCUCCCUGACAGCACCCUCCAUCCUCCACUUGUCAGUGUCAGUGUUUUGAGUGGAUAGCAACACCAAUAAACGCGCCUACUCUUGGCGGCUUCACCACCCACAGCUGUACUGGGAGAGAGCUGUUUUACUCAGGAAGUCAGUUGCUUGGAGUCUAUUUGUCUUUUGUAAUUACCAUUCAAUAAAGAAAAACCCUUGGUAAUUAUCCUUGGC
rnacentral:lncRNA from 1 species